UACGUAGGGGGCGAGCGUUGUCCGGAUUUACUGGGCGUAAAGCGCGUGUAGGCGGUUUGCCAAGUCCGGGGUGAAAGGCGGGGGCUCAACUCCGGAUCUGCGGUGGGUACGGGCAGACUAGAGUGAUGUAGGGGAGACUGGAAUUCCUGGUGUAGCGGUGAAAUGCGCAGAUAUCAGGAGGAACACCGAUGGCGAAGGCAGGUCUCUGGGCAUUAACUGACGCUGAGGAGCGAAAGCAUGGGGAGCGAACAGG
rnacentral:rRNA from 1 species